CUACAUGAAGCUGGAAUCGCUAGUAAUCGCGAAUCAGAAUGUCGCGGUGAAUACGUUCCCGGGUCUUGUACACACCGCCCGUCACACCAUGGGAGCCGGGAAUGCCCGAAGUCGGUGACUCAACCGUAAGGAGGGAGCCGCCGAAGGCAGGCCUGGUAACUGGGGUGAAGUCGUAACAAGGUAUC
rnacentral:rRNA from 1 species